UGCAAGUCGAACGGUAGCACAGAGAGCUUGCUCUCGGGUGACGAGUGGCGGACGGGUGAGUAAUGUCUGGGAAACUGCCUGAUGGAGGGGGAUAACUACUGGAAACGGUAGCUAAUACCGCAUAACGUCGCAAGACCAAAGAGGGGGACCUUCGGGCCUCUUGCCAUCAGAUGUGCCCAGAUGGGAUUAGCUAGUAGGUGGGGUAACGGCUCACCUAGGCGACGAUCCCUAGCUGGUCUGAGAGGAUGACCAGCCACACUGGAACUGAGACACGGUCCAGACUCCUACGGGAGGCAGCAGUGGGGAAUAUUGCACAAUGGGCGCAAGCCUGAUGCAGCCAUGCCGCGUGUAUGAAGAAGGCCUUCGGGUUGUAAAGUACUUUCAGCGGGGAGGAAGGUGUUGUGGUUAAUAACCGCAGCAAUUGACGUUACCCGCAGAAGAAGCACCGGCUAACUCCGUGCCAGCAGCCGCGGUAAUACGGAGGGUGCAAGCGUUAAUCGGAAUUACUGGGCGUAAAGCGCACGCAGGCGGUCUGUCAAGUCGGAUGUGAAAUCCCCGGGCUCAACCUGGGAACUGCAUUCGAAACUGGCAGGCUAGAGUCUUGUAGAGGGGGGUAGAAUUCCAGGUGUAGCGGUGAAAUGCGUAGAGAUCUGGAGGAAUACCGGUGGCGAAGGCGGCCCCCUGGACAAAGACU
rnacentral:rRNA from 1 species